UACGUAGGGGGCAAGCGUUGUCCGGAAUCAUUGGGCGUAAAGCGCGUGUAGGCGGUUCAGUAAGUCUGCUGUGAAAGUCCAGGGCUCAACCCUGGGAUGCCGGUGGAUACUGCUGGGCUAGAGUACGGAAGAGGCGAGUGGAAUUCCCGGUGUAGCGGUGAAAUGCGCAGAUAUCGGGAGGAACACCAGUGGCGAAGGCGGCUCACUGGCCCGGAACUGACGCUGAGGUGCGAAAGCGUGGGGAGCAAACAGG
rnacentral:rRNA from 1 species